GUUUACAGCGCCGAGAAGCUGCAGGUGUCCCAUGAAGCGUGAUGGAGGAGAACAAGCAGAGCAGUCCAAAAAAGGAGAGCCCCUGUAGAGCGCCCCCCGCGGGGACACCUGCUCCACGCGCGGCUUCAGCAGGGACGCCGGAAGAAGACGAACGCUCUCCGGAUCCCGUUCGCAGACGCGCCGAAUCUCCACAGCGCCUCUCGCCGGCCAGUGCGCAGCUGCUGGAAGAACUGAGGAGCAGAGCACAGCGCACCCGCAGGGAGGGGUCCCCAGAGCAUCCCGCAGCGCCCACAAGCCCCGCCUUCGCACCACCCGCAGCGAGCACCUCCCCAGGGUCCCGCGGGGAAGGGGCGACGCCUCUGACGGGGGGAGGCCUCUCUCUCUGCGGUCCGGAGCUGCUCCGCGAGCUCAAGCAGUCGCGCUCCCUGCGCCACAUCACACCUCACUCGGGCCUCACCACGGUCUUCUCGGGGAGGGGCGGAGCGGUAGGAGCAGCCUGCGGUGUUGGGGUGGUGGGGCGGGGGGUCGGGAUCAGAAAUUCCUCGCUUCCAAAUGUGAAACAAUAUUUUAGUCAGUGACCCCAGCGGAAGAGGCAGCUGGGCUGCAGAGUGGAGACACACACACACAAACACACACACACUCUCCAGUAGGGGGGUGCUGUCUGUCUGAGUUCGGUGCCACUCAAGAGCAGGGUAAGAGGUUACAGUACAACUGCCAGCAGCAGUGACCGUCACAGGUCCUGCUCAUUCCUGGUCUGGAGCUCCUGCCACUUGGUGGCGCCGUCCUGCCGAGACACCGGUCUUCGCUGCCCAGGUUCUGGCUGAAGGGAACGAGAGAUCAGUGUUGCUUUGCUCACUUUCCAAAGGCUUUCUGGUCCUCUUGAGCCACACAGCUGUCUCUGCUCCUCGGCUGGUGUCCUCCAGCCAGCUGCAGUUCAGCUGCGGUUCAGCUGCGGUCCAGCUGCGGUCCAGCUACGGUCCAGCUGCAGUCAAGCAGCGUUCGAGCUGGAGGAGAAGCAUAAGCGCCGAGGAGAAGCAGUGUAAGAUCCUGCAUUAGAGAUGGAGGAUGAAACCGAGCUGGGAGGCAGAAACCACCGACAUGAGAAAAGCCUCAGUUUCUUUUCUUACUGGGUUCCGUGUGUACCGCCGUUAACGUGCGGUCCGCGGUCCGUACACGUGUAUGAAAACACGGAGAGCUUUUCACAUCUCUUCCCCAUUUCGUUGUUCCUCUGUGUCUGUCUGCGUUUGUGCGUCUCCCAGACCAGAGCCUCGGUCCACGGUUCAGCUCCCAUCAGCCGCUCCCAAGUCCAGGUUCUGCCGAAGGCCUCGACCAAUCAGAGCGCAGGAGGCGGAGACAGAGCGCUUUUAGCCAACGGGGAGCAGAAAUAGACGCUCGCAGUCGGUCUUUCGGUCCGUCUCUGCAGCUCGACUUGUGUUUGACCAUAGCGAUGUUGCAGUAAGGGUUAUUUGCACAACUCUGUAUUGUAAUGACUUCAUUUUUUUAUUUUGUUUUCUUUUAUUUCAACUUCAAGUGUUUUACAGUGGAAAAAAUGUUCCAGAGCUGGAUCCCGGACCCAAGUUGUGGUUCUUCCUGACACCCUGAACACACUCUUCUCACCAAUAAACACGUUCGGUUGAACCA
ensembl:lncRNA